UUUAACUGAAGAGUUUGAUCAUGGCUCAGAUUGAACGCUGGCGGCAGGCUUAACACAUGCAAGUCGAGCGGGGGAAGGUAGCUUGCUACYGGACCUAGCGGCGGACGGGUGAGUAAUGCUUAGGAAUCUGCCUAUUAGUGGGGGACAACAUCUCGAAAGGGAUGCUAAUACCGCAUACGUCCUACGGGAGAAAGCAGGGGAUCUUCGGACCUUGCGCUAAUAGAUGAGCCUAAGUCGGAUUAGCUAGUUGGUGGGGUAAAGGCCUACCAAGGCGACGAUCUGUAG
rnacentral:rRNA from 1 species